AAAGGCAACCGAAAUGAAUAAUUAAUGUAUGUGUGUUAUAUUAAACAUAGAGGAGGGAGUAAAAUGUUGGCAAGCAAUAAACAUUUCAGGACGACUAUGUCUGAAUUAUUAUCCUUACACUUUCAAAAAUACUAGUUGAAUAAGACACGGGAGAGAUGACGAAUUUUGGCAAAGAGAUUUAUUUAUAGACUAAUACAACAAUCAGUAGCGGAUUUAGGUACAGGCGACAUAGGCAUCUUGCGUGGGGCAACACGGUGCGGGGCGGACGCUGAAGGGGGGGUUCGCCCAGGGCGACAUACAAGCUAGAACCGCCGCAUACACUUGAAACAAAUAGCCAAACUGAAAACUGCAGACAAAAAUGCUUUCUGCUACUAAGAUCAGUGAAAUGUAGGCUAAACUGACAGAGUGAAGAGCAGAAAUGUCAACUAGCAAGCAAGUCACAGUAACGAGGAACGCGAAGGGGGAAUUCUGGCAGAGGGGAGAUUUUCGAGACAACACCUGUGCAGAAGCAAAGGCUACGUAUGUAUUACAGGCUAAUAUAGUUGUGUAUGGCAGUCCAGACGGCAGCAUCAAGCUUGGCUUUGUAUUUGUAUCCAUUCCAUGCAGUCACUAAAAGAGACAACCGGCAGAAUUGUGUCCAGAGACUUGUCUUCCACCUACACCUCACCAGAACACAACGCAGAAAGGUACAGGACUGAAGUGUCUUUAACACGUGCACGAUGGGGAGAUGAGGCCAGAGGUUGCAUUGCAUUACAACUGCUCUCUUUUCUCUCUCCCUCCCAUUUUCUCUGUUCCUCUUUUUCUCUUCUCUUCAUUCCACUCCAUUCUUUCUCUUUACUCUCAUUUUUCUCUCCCCUUUCCUUCUCUCUCCUCCCUUUCUUUCUCUCUCUCUCUCUCUCUCUCUCUCUCUCUCUCUCCUCUCCUUUCUCCUCUUUCUCUCGUUUUCUCUCCUCUUUCUUUCUCUCUCUCUCUCUCUCCUUUCUCACUUAUUUUUCUCUUUCUCUCAAAUUCAUUUUUUCCUAAUUCAAGCUGCUUUAUUGGUAUGAAAAACAUUGUCUCACUUUUGCCAAAGCAACAAUGUGUACAAUAUACAUUGUAAUACAAUUAUAAAAAGAUAACAAAUAGUAAUAUAAAAUGGUGGCAAAUGAUAAUACAACAUGAAAUACAAAAAUAACAAGGUAAGUCAGUAGUAGAAAUAUAAUAAAUAAAAAUGGAAAAUGAAACUAAAACUAACUUAUAACUAAAUAACUAAUCUUCACCAUUACAUCAGUACUACAACCACCAUCAUCAUUACCAUCAUCAAAUCAAAAAUCAAAUUGAUUUAUAUAGCCCUCCAUACAUCAGCUGAUAUCUCAAAGUGCUGUACAGAAACCCAAGCUAAAACCCCAAACAGCAAGCAAUGCAGGUGUAGAAGCACGUUGGUAGGAAAAACUCCCUAGAAAGGCCAAAACCUAGGAAGAAACCUAGAGAGGAACCAGGCUAUGUGGGGUGGCCAGUCCUCUUCUGGCUGUGCCGGGUGGAGAUUAUAACAGAACAUGGCCAAGAUGUUCAAAUGUUCAUAAAUGACCAGCAUGGUCGUAUAAUAAUAAGGCGGAACAGUUGAAACUGGAGCAGCAGCACAGUCAGAUGGACUGGGGACAGCAAGGAGUCAUCAUGUCAGGUAGUCCUGGGGCAUGAUCCUAGGGCUCAGGUCCUCCGAGAGAGAGAAAGAAAGAGAGAAUUAGAGAGAGCAUAUGUGGGGUGGCCAGUCCUCUUCUGGCUGUGCCGGGUGGAGAUUAACAGAACAUGGCCAAGAUGUUCAAAUGUUCAUAAAUGACCAGCAUGGUCGAAUAAUAUUAAGGCAGAACAGUUGAAACUGGAGCAGCAGCACGGCCAGGUGGACUGGGGACAGCAAGGAGUCAUCAUGUCAGGUAGUCCUGGGGCAUGGUCCUAGGGCUCAGGUCCUCUAAGAGAGAGAAAGAAAGAGAGAAGGAGAGAAUUAGAGAACGCACACUUAGAUUCACACAGGACACCGAAUAGGACAGGAGAGGUACUCCAGAUAUAACAAACUGACCCUAGCCCCCCAACACAAACUACUGCAGCAUAAAUACUGGAGGCUGAGACAGGAGGGGUCAGGAGACACUGUGGCCCCAUCCGAUGAUACCCCCGGACAGGGCCAAACAGGCAGAGUAUAGCCCACAAAGAUCUCCACUACGGCACAAGCCAAGAGGGGUUGUGCCUUCCUCUCCCUUUUACACUCUCGCUCCUAUUUUCUAUCUCCUUUUCUCUCUCCUUUUCUCUCUCCCUUCUCCCUCUCUCUCCCUUCUCCCUCUCUCUCCUUUUCUCUCUCCCUUCUCCCUCUCUCUCCUUUUCUCU
ensembl:lncRNA